CCGGGAGCUGUAGUCCUGCCGCCGCUGUGGCCGCCCCGUGGAGCCUGGCAGGGACUCGGUGUCCCGGCGCGCCGCGGGCGGAGGGGCGGAGGAGAAAGCCGGAAGACGCGCAGAGCCGCAGCAGGAUGGAGGAGCCCGCUGGGAUCAUUCCCACCCGGAGGGACGCCUUCCUUCCCCAGUCCUGCUGUGAUCGCGUCACCGUAACAAACCUGGUGGAAGUGCUGAGAUCUUUGGUGGCUUUAACUGACCCUCAGGAGGGGAAGCUGACUCAGUCUCAAGAGAAAGCACUAAAUUCGCUGGGCAUUUGGAAAAGUGUAUUUAGAGUUGUUCCUGGGCCUACAUCAAAGACCUC
rnacentral:lncRNA from 1 species